UCAGGGUUGUCCACAGUCUCUGAAGUUGUAUGUGUUUCAGUUGGAUGUAAAAAGCAAAGUUGUGAAAACUUUAUGAAUGAAGAAAGACAAGUUCUAUGGAUGAACAACUUCUUUAUUACAAUUAGUGCGACGUUUCGGUGUAGAUCCUAACACCUUUAUCAAGCAAGUGAUGGAAAGUGCUGAACAACAUAGGUAUAUAUACUUAUUAACAUCAAUGUUUAUACAGUAAAUUGAUUGAUGGACACAGAGAGCUGAUUAAGAUGAUUGGAAGCCAGUGAAUGACUAAUGGGACAGGGUAAACAACCACGGAAGCUCAUUGGAAUGUUCAUACAUAGAAUUUAACUUUCUUCAUCACACCAACUUCUAAAUGCCACUGAAAGAAACUUUAUGAAUGGAUUGCUGAAAAUCGGUGAUGACAUCAGGUGCUUGCGAAAAGGGUUUCGUCGUUGGUUGCCGAAUAUAGCAAUAAGAACUCAGAUAACGAUGAAUAACACCGCAUGCUGUCAUGAUAAGACUUUUCAUUGCUACAGAUAUCACCGCAUGGAGCCAUGGCAACCAGACCUCAGAUGACUUCGGUAAUCACCGCAUGGACACAUGCUAAACCCUUGUACUGGUGCAGAUAUCACCGCAUGGAGCCAUGACAACCAGACCCCAGAUGACUUCGGUAAUCACCGCAUGGACACAUGAUUAACCCUUCUACUGGUGCAGAUAUCACCGCAUGCUGUCAUGCCAAGAUGACUUCACACGACCGUGGAUGUCAAUGAAGACGGCUACAGUUGUCAACCCAUGCUGUCAUGACAAGAUGAACUCACACGGCCAUGGAUGUCAAUGAAGACGCCUACAAAUGUUGCUGCAUGCUACCAUGACAAGAUUAACUCACUACUAUUGAUAUCACUUAAGUCGCCUACAGAUGUCACCACAUGCUGUCAUGACAAGAUUAACUCAUACGGCCAUAAAUAUCAAUGAAGACGCCUACAGACGCCUAGAGACGCCAUCAAAAAUCACGCGACCACGGAUAUCAUCGCAUGCAGACAGGACAGUAGAAAAAGAUUGUGAUAAUAAUAACUUCAUCAGAUAGCUGCAGACAUGACCAUAUGCAGACAUUCCAAAAGAACAGAGAACAGAGAGAGGCCAGUAUGUCCAUAUGUCUGUAUGGCACCGAAUGAACACAGUACCGGCAUCAGGACACCGACAAUAUGACGCGAUCAUCUAACGCAAUUUG